GGGACAACCCGCCGAAAGGCGGGCUAAACCCGCGUACAUGCCACCGGGGCAUCCCGGAGGCAGGAAAGGCUUCGGCCGGACAGGGAUGGGCAUGCGGCGCAUUAGGCAGUAGGCGGGGUAACGGCCCACCUAACCGACGAUGCGUAGGGGUUCUGAGAGGAAGAUCCCCCACACUGGUACUGAGACACGGACCAGACUCCUACGGGAGGCAGCAGUGAGGAAUAUUGGUCAAUGGUCGGGAGACUGAACCAGCCAAGCCGCGUGAGGGAUGAAGGUACAGAGUAUCGUAAACCUCUUUUGUCAGGGAACAAAGGCGGGGACGUGUCCCCGGAUGAGUGUACCUGAAGAAAAAGCAUCGGCUAACUCCGUGCCAGCAGCCGCGGUAAUACGGAGGAUGCGAGCGUUAUCCGGAUUUAUUGGGUUUAAAGGGUGCGCAGGCGGUCUGUUAAGUCAGCGGUCAAAGCCCGGGGCUCAACCCCGGCCCGCCGUUGAAACUGGCAGUCUCGAGUUGGAGAGAAGUAUGCGGAAUGCGCGGUGUAGCGGUGAAAUGCAUAGAUAUCGCGCAGAACUCCGAUUGCGAAGGCAGCAUGCCGGCUCCACACUGACGCUGAGGCACGAAAGCGUGGGUAUCGAACAGGAUUAGAUACCCUGGUAGUCCACGCAGUAAAC
rnacentral:rRNA from 1 species